AUGGCAUCACUGCCUCCCCUGCUCUGCCUCGUGGUGCUCUGGGUCCAGGGCUCCUCCGGGCAGAUUGUGCAGACUCAGACCCCAGAGUCCCUGGUGGUGUCUCCAGGAGAUCGAGUGACCAUCAAGUGCAAAGCCAGCUCCAGCCUUACUUACUCAGGAAAUGAAUACUUAGCCUGGUACCAGCAGAGACCUGGACAAGCUCCAAAGCUCCUCAUCUAUGGUGCUUCCACACGGCAGUUGGGAGUGCCAGCCCGGUUCAGCGGCAGUGGCUCUGGCACCGAUUUCACUCUCACCAUCAGCAGUGAUGAAGCUGAAGAUGCUGGAGGUUAUUAUUGUCACCAGACCCACAGUGCUACUCACCCAGUGAUACAAACCCAUACAAAAACCUGCCAUGCUGCCCAGCCUAGCACCACAGCUGCUUCCUGA